rnacentral:rRNA from 1 species
AGUGAACGCUGGCGGUAGGCCUAACACAUGCAAGUCGAACGGCAGCACAGUAAGAGCUUGCUCUUACGGGUGGCGAGUGGCGGACGGGUGAGGAAUACAUCGGAAUCUACUUUUUCGUGGGGGAUAGCGUAGGGAAACUUACGCUAAUACCGCAUACGACCUACGGGUGAAAGCAGGGGAUCUUCGGACCUUGCGCGAUUGAAUGAGCCGAUGUCGGAUUAGCUAGUUGGCGGGGUAAAGGCCCACCAAGGCGACGAUCCGUAGCUGGUCUGAGAGGAUGAUCAGCCACACUGGAGCUGAGACACGGUCCAGACUCCUACGGGAGGCAGCAGUGGGGAAUAUUGGACAAUGGGCGCAAGCCUGAUCCAGCCAUACCGCGUGGGUGAAGAAGGCCUUCGGGUUGUAAAGCCCUUUUGUUGGGAAAGAAAAGCAGCAGGUUAAUACCCCGCUGUUCUGACGGUACCCAAAGAAUAAGCACCGGCUAACUUCGUG